UGGCAAGCUUAGCGCGCUUGGCUUAAGGGGCGGCGCGCUCCCUUCCUGCUGCUGGGCGGAGGGAAGGCGGCAAGAGCUGCGGAGCCCCUGGAACGAGCUUCCAGGAACCCUGCGCUGUGGGAUAGAGGAAUGAGGUUCAGAAAGGGGCAGGGAGUUGCCCGCAGCCGUACCGCACGUCUUCAGCCCGACCGUUGUCCUGACCUCUCUGUCCCGUCCCCUGCCCAGUUUCACCAUGGCCUUCUGGACACAGCUGAGGCUGCUGCUCUGGAAGAAUUUCAUGUAUCGCCGGAGACAGCCGGUCCAGCUCCUGGUCGAAUUGCUGUGGCCGCUCUUCCUCUUCUUCAUCCUGGUGGCUGUUCGCCAUUCCCACCCGCCCCUGGAGCACCAUGAAUGCCACUUCCCAAACAAGCCACUGCCAUCGGCGGGCACCGUGCCCUGGCUCCAGGGUCUCAUCUGUAACGUGAACAACACCUGCUUUCCGCAGCUGACCCCGGGCGAGGAGCCCGGGCGCCUGAGCAACUUCAACGACUCCCUGGUCUCCCGGCUGCUAGCCGAUGCCCGCACUGUGCUGGGAGGGGCCAGUGCCCACAGGAUGCUGGCUGGCCUAGGGAAGCUGAUCGCCACGCUGAGGGCUGCACGCAGCACGGCCCAGCCUCAACCAACCAAGCGGUCUCCGCUGGAACCACCCAUGCUGGAUGUCGCGGAGCUGCUGACGUCACUGCUGCGCACGGUAGGGUGUGGGGGCGGGACCGCGCUGACUUCCUGGAACACUGCACUGGAGAUGUCCUGGCACUGCCCCACCCCUGGCCAAGGACCUCUCGUUCCAGGCAUCCAGGUUGUCCCUGGUCCCUGUGGUGAUGCUGCUUGUCCUGUCUGGGCCCAGACAGAGUGUGUCUGACCCAGUGAUGAAGUCUGUGAGAUCUCGAAUGCGUCCCUUUGCCUCUCAGAGCCUCAGUUUCCCUAUUUGUAAAGUGGGGGCUAUGAUAGUAUGGUCUGCCUGGGAACUGGCCAGAGCGCUGGACCUCUAGUGAGAGCUCAAAGUCAUUGUAACCCUUGUGGUCUUUCUUCCCA
rnacentral:sRNA from 1 species